rnacentral:lncRNA from 10 species
CAUGAAUAUUCUGGACAUCCCGAAGGUGUGAUGCAGCGUGGAGAGUGGGUGCACAUCAGCAUCACCAGCACCUCUGUUAAGCAGAAUACUGUGCAUGGGUAUUAAUCCCUGGUGGGGAAUUCUGUGCGACUAUUAAGAAUCCCAGAGGAGAACUCUAAACACCUUGCCAGCUUCUACUAAGGUUCCUAGAUCUGGCAGGUUUCUAGAUCUGGCAGGAGGUUUUGCCCAAACCCAGCUGCCAGUGUAUGAGUUUGGUGAGACAGAGCACUUGUGCAACAUGUCAGGCAAAGCAAGUUUAGUACUCCCAGGCAGGGAGCAAGGGCCAACAGAAGUCUAGGAUCCAUGAUGUGCUGGUCCCCCAAGGCUUAGGGAGGCUGCCCAGGGUGGAUGCAGUCUUAUCUGUAUGUGCUCCACUAUACAUCUGAUAUAGUUUGGAUAUUUGUCCCCUCCAAAUCUCAUGUUGAAAUGUGAUCCCCAGUGUGGAGGUGGGGCCUGGAGGGAGGUGUUUGGGUCAGAGGGGUUGAUCCCCCAUGAAUGGCUUCGUGUCCUCCCCGUGGUAAUGAGCGAGCUCUCAGCUAUUACUUCAUGUGAGAUCUGGUUGUUUUAAAGAACCUGGCACCUUCUCCUUUCUCUUUUGCCCCCUCUCAUGCCAUGUGACAUGCUGCCUCCCUCUUUGCCUUCCACCAUGAGUGGGAGCUUCCUGAGGACCUCACCAGAAGCUGAGGAGAUGCUGGUGCUAGGCUUCUUGUAGAGACUGCAAAGCCGUAAGACAAAUGAACUUCUUUUUUGUAUAAAUUGCCCAGAUAUUCCUUUACAGCAAAACAAAAUGGACUGAUAUAGCACCACUACUGAGGGACCCUGAAAGCAUUCUGCUCUGGUUUUAUACCUCAGAGGCCACUUGGAUUGGUGAGCCAAGCAUUGCAGGCUGUUCUAGGAAUGACGGAGACAAAGCCUGGGCUAUUCUGGGCAUUUCCUCCUAUCUCAGAAUGUUGCAUUCUCUGUACAUUCUGCCCAAGAAUUGCAAGCAAAGGAGGGUCAGCCAAGGCUAUUUGCAGGCUUGUCCUCCUGUCUGGUUGAAAGAUCCUUCAGUACCAGCCAACUCUCUCUCCUGGUUCCAUGUUCACUCUGCUACUUUCUAAUUAUUACUCCAGGUUGGAGGGAUGGAUGAUGGACAACAACUUUUCUCAUCACUGGAAGGGCAUGUUCCCCACUGAAACUGAAUCCACUGUUUUUUGUUUGUUUGUUUAUUUGUUUAUUUUUGUUUUUGAGACAGCGUCUGGCUUUGUUGCCCAGACUGGAGUGCACUGGUGCAAUCUCGGCUCACUGCAACCUCUGCCUCCGGGGUUCAAGAGAUUCUCCUGCCUCAGCCUCCCAAGUAGCUUGGACUACAGGCACGCACCACCAUGCCUGGCUAAUUUUUAUAUUUUUAGUGGAGACAGGGUUUCACCAUGUUGGCCAGACUGGUCUUGAGCUCCUGACUUCAAGUGAUCCACCUGCCUUGGCCUCCCAAAGUGCUGGGAUUACAGGCAUCAGGCCACUCCACUGGGUUUUGAGAAUCAGUCAAUUUUAUGUGUGUUUAGGUUACUUAGCUGCAUUCCUAAAGUCUCUGAACCAGUCAGCCAGGAGCUUGGAUAUCAAGACCUUGGAGGGAGUUUGGUGUCAGUUUUCAGCAUCAAACUCCCUCCAAGGUCUUGAUAUCCAAGCUCCUGGCUGAUCUGGGAGCCACAGCAGGGGUCAGGGCCCUGUGAUCCCCAGCCUGAAACUGGCAGUCAGAUUUCACAGGCUUCAGACCACAGAGGAGCACUAGGACCCCACCAGAGGUGGUCCGGAGGCUGACCUGAAGGCCCUGGGGAUGGGCUAUGCAAGCUGAUUGCUCACUGCGAGUAGCAAGAGAUGCCUUGAGCCUCUUAUGGGAUCAUGAGGAUUGUGUGCUGGGAUCCCGGCAGACAAAGCUGAGAUUCAGCUGGAUAAAGCAGGCUGUAGCACAGCUGAUGUUUGUUCUCUGUGGAAAUCAGGCUCUUUUCUCCUAAGGUCAGUGCCCAAAAAGGUAAAGAAAACCUCAUGCAGUGUGCUUGCUUCUCCUCAUGGGCAGCCCAUUUGGAUACCCUGGAAAUUGAACCUAAUUUAAAAGCUUAUGGCCAAGUAAAGGAUCCUGACUCUAGCUCUGGAUACAGUAUUUGGCUCAUUCUGGGAACCUGACUUUGAUAAGAAGAUGAAGAACUUUGUGAAUUGAAGUAAAUCACGUGAGAAUCACUGACCUGACCUAAGAAAAGUUUGGAUUUCUGUGAAACAGUAUUCUACCACUCCUAAAGAAAUAUGCAUUUGGCUGCAGUUUUCCACUUUUCACAUAGGGGAGUGAGCUUUCUCUUGUUUGAACAACCAUCAAGAACUGGGAUAUUAUCUCAUUUCAGGUGAAAAUAGUAUUCAUGUAUGCUUAUCACAAAUUCAGUAUUCAGGGUUCAGUAUUUGCACAGAGGAAAAGUAAGCAUAAGUUUUAGAUGAAAGACAUAAAUUUUAUUAUUUAUUUUUAACUUCAAAAAUAUUAUUUUCUAUGCACAUAUGGACCUAUAAAAGAGAUCAAGAAAUUAAUACAUGUAUAUAAUACAUUUAUAACUGCUAGACCUUUAUUUGAGUCUGAUCAUGUUACUCAGUGAGAAACUUUUUUUUCUAAGUCUUAAUAAGAUGUCUUACACUAUAUUUUUAUUUAUAUUGCUUUGGCUUGUGAUUAAUUGCUUUGCUAUUCAAUACUGGCAAAAUUUUUUAUACAGUAAAUAACAUUAAUUAAAAUAAAUUUAUAACUUAUUUAAAUAAAUCUAUCAAGAUGACCUUUCACAAAUUCAAUUCCUUUUGGUUUAAGACAGUUAUUUAAGGGAAAUGUAUUAUGUUUGUCUUAAGAAUUUUUUAAAUUUAUGAAAAAGAAGGAAAGAUUAAUUUCAAGAAAGGUUAUCCAGUCUUGGAGCUACCUGAUUAUAUUCAAGACAGAUUGGCUUAAAAAAUUUGUUAGCUUUAAAUAGCAGAAAUAACUACUCUUGCAUGUAUCAUAUACCAUGUCCCAUACCUCAUCAGCAUGUCUUAUACUAUAAAUAAAACUUUGAAGUCUAUUUGGAUAAGAUUUUUUGAAAAUCAGGUAGGAAUUUAUUAAAAGGAAAAACUGAGAUCUUCUCACCUACAUUACUGACUUGCAGUAGAGGGGUUAUUCUUUG